UUUUAAAAAAAUUAAUUGUUUAUAAUUCACGAUUCUUGAUCUUCGUGACAGAAGCUGGAAAAAAUGGCUUUACACAUUCUUCUAUAGAGUUUAUUUAAAGACGAAUAUCCAGUUUAACCUUGGCCUGUCCGUUUCGGUCCCGGAGAUGUCCGCGCAAUCAUCUAAUUUAUGACAAAAGCUUUUUUUCGUAUACAUUCAUCACCAUGAGAGACGCGCUUUGGCUUUUCACCCGAGACACACAAUAACGCACGUUCCUUGUAUCACGCACGUCUCUCUCGGCGGCCAGCACUUUUCGCCGAGUUCGUCGACCACCAUUCCGUCCCAUCAGCACAAGAGGUUGGAGAAAUAAUGUUUAGUUUCGGUCCGGCAUUUUUGCUGGGGAUAUGUUGUAAGUAUCGUGGGGCAUUGUCCAGUCAACGAGUUAUAUAGUACCCGAGCCCCAUGGACACUUGUAAAUUCCUUCAGCAAAGAUGGAGCCCAGCAUAUUUGGGCUUGAUGGGCUUGAUUAUAUGUGAUGAUACAGCGCUUCACCAAAUUAUGAGAAGAAGAAGAUUCUUUACCCCCUGGCUUACGUCAUGUCUACCACCCUUGCGUGUGCAUAUAUAAGUUGGCGGUCUUGGCAGAUGAACCUUGUCAGUCCACUUUCUCCGUCAAACCGGCUACUGCUACAUAACCAUUUUCGAAGAUGAAUACGAUGACGGUGUUAAUCGGACUCGUCCUCAUGAUGAGUUUGACAGCUUCGGCCUAUCCGUCCCGCUAUUAUUCCAGUCCGUCAAAUAAUUACCGCUACUACCAGCCGGAAAUCGAUCGGAUGCUGG